rnacentral:rRNA from 1 species
UACAGGGGGGGCAAGCGUUGUUCGGAAUUACUGGGCGUAAAGGGCUCGUAGGCGGCCAACUAAGUCACACGUGAAAUCCCCAGGCUUAACCUGGGAACUGCGUGUGAUACUGGAUGGCUUGAAUCCGGGAGAGGGAUGCGGAAUUCCAGGUGUAGCGGUGAAAUGCGUAGAUAUCGUGAGGAACACCAGAGGCGAAGGCGGCUUCCUGGACAAUUGCUGACGCUCAGGCACGGAAGCGUGGGGAGCAAAAGGG